rnacentral:antisense_RNA from 1 species
CUUUGUUACAGAAUCAUCACUGGAGCUAUCCCAUGGGACCCAGUGCUGCCUGUGUCCUGGAAACCACCUGAGGGAGGUCACAGCCCUUAUGCACCUACUGCUCACUCAGCCCUGUAAUGACUGUUCUUAACCCAUCUGUGGAUUGUGAAGUUUAUCUAGUUGUUUAUAACUAUUUUUUUUUAGCAAAAUAGAAUAGAAAACAUCAAAGUGCAUACGUGCAGCAAAGACGGAGUCUCACUCUGUCGCCCAGGCUGGAGUGCAGUGGCGGGAUCUCGGCUCACUGCAAGCUCUGCCUCCCGGGUUCACGCCAUUCUCCUGCCUCAGCCUCCGAAGUAGCUGGGACUACCAGUGCCCGCCACCACGGCCGGCUAUUUUGUAUUUUUAGUAGAGAUGGGGUUUCACCGUGUUAGCCAGGACGGUCUUGAUCUCCUGACCUCGUGAUCCGCCCACCUCGGCCUCCCAAAGUGCUGGGAUUACAGGCGUGAGCCACCCUGCUCGGCCUAAUGUGUGCUUAUCUUAACCAAAAUGAGCCCUCAUUUCACUUUCCUGUUCUACUCUAAGGAAGAUAAAAUAUCAUUCCAACUUGAGGUAGAGGCAGGUGCCAGUACCCAAGACCCUGGGCUGUGCAGCAGGGGCUACUGUAAACCCAAGACCCCAAACUUCCUCCCUCUGCCAGAGCCAGGGAGCAGCUCUGACGCCCUCUAGCCCCUUCUCCGUUAGCCUCAAUUUCAAAUAAAAAA